CGUGGCCAAGGCGGGCAGGGGCGUGGCCGGGCGGUUGGCGCGCAGCGGGGCGAUGGACGGCGACCGGGUGAGGCGGCGGCUGAGCUGCGCGUUCCGGUUGCGGGGCUUCCUGCUGCGGGCGGAUGCUCUGAAGUAUCUUACCGAAGCUCUGCAGUCCGUCAGUGAAGUAGAACUUGAUGAUGUAAUUGAAAAUGUCAUCGACGCCAUUGAAAAACAGCCUUUGUCAUCUAAUAUGGUUGAACAGUCCAUGGUGGAAGCAGCCGUCCAAGAAUGCAGCCAAACAUCGGAUGAAACUAUAGAAAACGUUUUCAACAUUAUUGGAGCUUUCGACAUUCCACGUUAUAUUUAUAAUUCAGAAAGAAAGAGGUUUCUACCGCUGUCGAUGACCAACCUCCCUGCACCGAGUUUGUUUGGGACUGCCAGAGAUAAAGCGGAACUGUUUCGGGAGCGCUACUCCAUCUUACAGCAGAGGACUCACAGGCACGAGUUGUUCACUCCUUCAGCAGUUGUUGUUCAUCCUGAUGACAGCGGGAGCAAAUUCCAGCUGAAAACAAUAGAAACUCUGUUGGGCAAUACAGCUAAAGUGGGCGAAGUGAUUGUGCUCGGGAUGAUAACUCAGCUCAAGGAGGGGAAAUUUUUCCUAGAAGACCCUACCGGAGUUGUCCAGCUCGACCUUAGCAAAGCCCAGUUCCACAGUGGUUUAUACACCGAAUCGUGCUUUGUGUUGGCAGAAGGUUGGUAUGAAGAUGAAGUUUUUCAUGUGAACGCAUUUGGAUUUCCCCCUACUGAGCCUUCUGCUACCACGAGAGCCUUCUACGGGAACGUGAACUUCUUUGGAGGCCCUUCAUCAGCUUCAGUAAAAGCUUCUGCGAAACUAAAGCAGCUGGAGGAUGAAAAUGAAGAUGCCAUGUUUGUGUUUCUGUCUGAUGUGUGGUUGGACCAAGCAGAGGUGCUGGAAAAGCUUCACACGAUGUUUUCAGGUUAUUCCGCUGCACCUCCAACCUGCUUUUUCUUUUGUGGAAACUUUUCAUCUGCACCAUAUGGAAAAAAUCAAAUCCAGUCACUGAAAGGUUCAUUGAAGGCUCUUGCUGAUAUUAUAUGUGAAUAUCCCAGCAUCCAUAAAAGUCGAUUUGUGUUUGUUCCUGGCCCUGAAGACCCUGGUCCUGGUUCUAUUUUACCCAGACCUCCCCUGGCUGAAAAUAUUACUCAGGAAUUCAGGCAGCUGGUGCCGUUUUCAGUUUUCACCACAAAUCCUUGCAGGAUUCAGUAUUGCACCCAAGAAAUAAUUAUCUUUCGCGAAGAUUUGGUAAACAAAAUGUGCAGAAACUGCGUCCGCUUCCCUAGCAGCAACAUGGAUAUUCCCAGCCAUUUCAUAAAGACUAUAUUAUCGCAAGGACAUCUGACACCGCUCCCGCUGUACGUCAGCCCCGUGUACUGGGCUUACGACUACACCCUGAGGGUGUAUCCUGUGCCAGACAUGCUCGUCAUUGCGGAUAAAUACGACCCAUUCACUGUCACCAACACCGACUGCCUCUGCAUAAACCCGGUAAGAUUUCCUUGCGCUUUACCAAAAUACGAAGGGAGAACAGUCACAGCCGGGUGUGUCUUUAACUACUUGUACAGUAUUUUCCUUACCUGAGCGAGGUUUCUGCCUGUCUUUACAGGGUUCCUUUCCAAGAAGUGGAUUUUCAUUCAAGGUAUUCUAUCCCUCCAACAAGACAGUGGAAGACAGGUAAAUAUAUUCACUUUCUCACUUAAAAGGAAGUAUCUUCUUAUUUGCUGAUUUCCGAGUUAUUAGGAGGACCACGGAAAAGCACUUUUAUAAACAGAACCAAUGUCAGUGCUCUAGCAGUUAAUCACAGAAUGAUUUGUUUCUGGAGAUGAUGCCUGUUACACAGGCUAAUUACACUUAGGAACUAUUCUCGGUUCAUUUUGUGAUUGCCAUUAAUCUUGGGAGCCAUUUUCAUGCUUUGACUUAACACAUUUUCAAUCUGUACGUAUUCAUUCCCACUGUGGGCUUCCAGUGACUGGAAAAAAAAGCUAACUGCAGCACCAAAAAAAGUCAAAGAGCUUAUAGCUGCGAUGGAAAUGUGCCUCCAUUUGAAAUAACGAUAGCAAAACCCUAAGGGAGAAGUGCAAACUCUUGUACAAUUCAGUUUCAUGUAACCUCUACCUGAAUAUAGAAAACACCACACCAUGAAAUGCUUUAGUGUUAUUGAGACUUUCAUAAAUGAAGAACUGAAUAGCAUUGUAAACUGUCUCUGACAAAAAAUCCCUAAAUAUUGUUUUUGUUUGGUAUUUUCAGCAAGCUCCAAGGGCUGUGAAUCUCUGCGAGACUGCAAAAAGGGGGAGAGGCUUUGUAAAGCCACCUGCAGCGCUGAUUUGAGAUGGAUUGAUUUUAUCAUGUAUUACAGCCUGUUUAGAGUAAAUAUCAAAGCCAAAAAGGGU